GAUGAUUUGCAGACUAAACAUAUCCCAACUUUCAUCCACAUGACUCGCUAAACUUUGGCCAACAAUUUUCGGUUGUAAUCGAAACAUUUUGAACAGUUGGUCGACGAAGAGUUUCCAUGCAUAGUUGCACAAAAUAUUUCGCAAAAACAUGCUGAGCAUCGUAAAGUCUAGAGGACCUAUCCCCUCGGUUACUUUUCAAAUGGCGGUUAGAUCAAAACAGCGACAUUGCGAAAAUUUAUGAGCUACACAAUACAAAAGAGCAAAACACACAUGUGGCAGACACGAGACGAAAUCGGAUGAAAUACGCUGAGACGAAGGGCAGACAGCGAUGUGAACCCCUCUGGAUGGGGAUGAGGAUGGGGAUGGGAUCGUUGAAUAACAAUAUGUAUGGGGUAUGAAAACGGAACGAUACGAAUGGAAAUAUUUCAUUUUAUGCUCAUAAUAAUGACACCAACCCGAGCCAAAAAUGUUAUAAAAUGGUUGAUUAUGUGAGCGAUUCAGA